rnacentral:rRNA from 1 species
AUGGUGAUGGAUGACCACCAACUCCGGCUACUCCAGAUCCCUCCGCCUAUCCACCCCGAGGAUCCGGAUUCUCCUCUCCCGGAGACCAUCCUCAUCGACUCCUUCGGCUACCUCAGCGACCGCACCAACGCCACCACCGCCCGUGGCCGCAGGAGCAGGACCAAGAAGAAGGGCAAGCGCAUCCUGGUCACCUUCUGGCCGGCUGCCCCGCCGCGCGUCUCCUGCUUCACCGUCCACUGCCCAGAUCUGAAGCCCGAUGCAUUCGCUGACAUGCCCAAGAUCUCCUAUACGGAGGAUGGCCUCGUCCUGCUCCGCAUCACCAUCUGCCCCGAGCGCCAGCACGUGUACACCAAGAACAUUCGCUACUUCGUCUACCAGGCCGGCACCAAGAAGACGCCGCCGUCGGUCAAGCUCGUCCACUGUCCCCCCUACUUCAGGAUCUACGACCAAGAGGUUGCCUUACUGCACUGCCACGACCAAGAGAUGUUCUUCAUCGCCGUGCUCCGCAGGGCCUUCAUUGAGCGGGAGUACACCGACGGGCACUUUAAUCUCCACCUGUACAACUCCAAGACAAAGGCAUGGAGCACCAAGUUGAUGCUUCUUGAUUCGCCCAAGGAUUUUGAGUUCCAGUCUCCCAACAAGGGGAUCACCAUUGGAGGGGAGCUUGGUUCAGUGGGUUGGGUCGACCUCGGGCGGGGCAUUAUCAUCUGUGACCUUCUCCUCCUUGACAGCAACCAGAGUCUUCGCUACAUCCCGCUACCUUCGCCGCUGUCGCCCGAU